UCACUGUGAUAUAAGAGCUUGAGUCAAAAGCUAAUUUUAUAGAUAUUUGAUUCGAUUAUCACUUCAUUAUAACCAUAAGAAAAGGAGCAAUAUUAUUAUUACCAACACCACCUGCACAAGCCUUAUCCUUGAUGAUAACGCAGCAGCAAUAAUGAGUGUCAUUUUCCUAUUGGGAUCUCUUUACGAAAGUGCUACAAUUAAAAUGAGGAUUGAAUAUUGAUAGAUAGAUAUUAGUAUAAUAUCACAAUUGUAAUUUACACGCUACUAGUACUCGUCAGUUUCGUGGAAAGUGCCUUCCUUGUUGACUUGACUACCAAAAUAUGACUAGUCUUGGGACUUCUGUUGUUGAUAAUGGAAUCAAAAUAUCUACAAAGAAAUGAGAAUCCAUAUUGAAGAAGAAGGGGAUGCAAAAAUUGCAAGGAAACUGGCUAUUGUGGGACUCUGGUGCAUCCAGUGGCAUGCCAUGGAUAGACCAUCAAUGCAAAUGGUGCUUCAAAUGUUAGAGGGAGAUGUAGAGACAACUCCAAUACCUCCUAAUCCUUAUAAUUCUUCAGCAGGUGCAGGACCAAGGAGAACAAGUGCUACUGCGGGUGUUGUUGCUAGACAACUAACCCAAGAUUUAGAAGUAAUCCAAGAGUUAGAGUGAUUCAUAGCUUACAAUUACAAUGGGGAGAAGACCUAGGAAAAUGUUGUUUAUGGAGAGCCUAUUGGAGUCAUCAUUCAAGACUUGAACUCCAAUUAAUGAGGCAGCUAGAAAAGCUGCUGGAUUUGGCCCUCAGUGGUAUGAACCGCUUGCUGGUAAAGAGGCCAAUACACAAUAACCAGUUCAUCUCCUUCAUUUCAUUUGGAGUUUCUUACUGCAUGCAUCUUGGGGAGCUGUAAGUAACACUUUGUCAAAAACAGAUGUUUUGAAUGGGACCAGAACAUAAUUGUCAAGAUUAAAACAUUUUAUAUGAAUUUUAAGCCAUUAAAGUUGGGAUGGUUGUGAGACCAUGAGGUUUAGGAAGUUUGCAUCAGGUUAUAUCUCAUUGUUAUUGUUGUCUUUGGAAAAUAUGAAUUUCAAAGACUAUGUUAUAUCUCAUUGUUAUUGUUAUUAUAGUAUCUUUUGUGAUUAAAGUGUGUAGUCACUUUUGUAAUAACAAAUUUCGCAAACCAAUAUUUCAGACGUUCUAAGGAAA